GACCUGGUUGUCCUUUGUGUCCUUGAACCUGACAGGGCAGGACGUUAGGCCAAACCAGCAGCGUCAGGUGGAGGUCUGGCUGUUGGUCUCCUCCACAGGCUGCUCCUCAGGAAGGACUGGGUUGUUCUUCCUGUUCUUGAUCCUGACAGGGCAGGAGGUCAGGCUUAACCAGCAGUGCCAGGUGGAGAUCUGGCUGUUGGUCUCCUCCAUAGGCUGCUCCUCAGGAAGGGCCUCGUUGUUCCUCUCCUCAGUCCUGACAGGGCAGGAGGUUAGGCCUAACCAGCAGCGCCAGGUGGAGGUCUGGCUGUUGGUCUCCUCCAUAGACUGCUCCUCAGGAAGGGACUCAUUGUUGUUGUUCUCCUCAGUUCUGACAGGGCAGGACAUUAGGCCUAGCCAGCAGCGCCAGGUGGAGGUCUGGCUGUUGGUCUCCUCCAGAGGCUGCUCCUCAGGAAGGCCUGGUUGUCCUUCCUGUCCUCGAUUGUGGUGGGGAAGGAGGUUAGGCCAAACCAGGAGUGCCGUCUGGAGGUCUGGCUUUUGGUCUGCUACAUGGCCUGCUCCUCAGGAAGGACCUUUUGUUCUUUGUGUCCUCGAUCGUGGCAGGGCAGGAGGUUAGGCCAAACCAGCAGAGGCUGGUGGAGGUCUGACUCUUGGUCUCCUCCACAGGCUGCUCCUCAGGAAGGACCGGGUUGUUCUUCCUGUCCUCGAUCCUGAC
rnacentral:lncRNA from 1 species